rnacentral:rRNA from 1 species
UACGGGGGGAGCAAGCGUUGUUCGGAUUUACUGGGCGUAAAGGGCGCGUAGGCGGCGCAACAAGUCACUUGUGAAAUCUCCGGGCUUAACUCGGAAAGGUCAAGUGAUACUGUUGUGCUAGAGUGCGGAAGGGGCAACUGGAAUUCUCGGUGUAGCGGUGAAAUGCGUAGAUAUCGAGAGGAACACCUGCGGCGAAGGCGUGCUGCUGGGCCGACACUGACGCUGAUGCGCGAAAGCCAGGGGAGCGAACGGG